rnacentral:lncRNA from 1 species
AACCUGAACAUCUUUGCAACCCAAAAAGCAUCCUCUCCACUACCAUUUAAAAAUAAACGUUGGCAAGGGCCGGGCGCGGUGGCUCAUGCCUGUAAUCCCAGCACUUUGGGAGGCCAAAGUGGGCGGAUCACCUGAAGUCGGGAGUUUAAGACCAGCCUGGCCAACAUGGUGAAAACACCGUGUCUACUAUAAAAAUACAAAAAUUAUCCGGGCGUGGUGGCGGGCAUCUGUAAUCGCAGCUAUUCAGGAGGUGGAGGUCGCAGUGAGCCGAGAUCGCCCCAUUGCACUCCAGCCUGGGCAACAAGAGCGAAACUCCGUCUCAAAAAAAAAACAACAACAAAAACCGUUAGCUGGGUGUGGUGGCUAAAGACUGUAAUCCCAGCACUCUGGGAGGCCGAGGCAGGCAGAUUGCUUGAGCCCAGGAGUUUGAGACCAGCCUGGCCAACAUGGUGAAACCUUGUCUCUACCAAAAAUACACAAAUUAGCCGAGCAUGGUGACGUCUGUAAUCCCAGCUACUCAGAAGGCUGAGGCACGAGCAUCACUUGAACCCGGGAGGCAGAAUUUGCAGAGCCGAGAUCUCGCCCUUGCACUCCAGCCUGGGCGACAGAGAGAGAUUUCGUCUAAAAAAAAAAAAAAAAAAAAAAAAAAAAUUGCUUAAUUCUUUAGGCUUCCUCCUCCAGGAAGCCAGCCAGGAGGAUUUCUCCAGCCUAAUCAUCCUAACUCAGGGUCUUUCCACCAUGUCCCCUGUUAUCCACCUCCUCACAGGCUGUGAGCUUCCCGGGAGCAGAAGCUCCCCUGGACCGUUUCACUCCGUGCCCGGUGUACGUAAUAAGUGCUUAAUCAAUGAGGCUGGAAAGGGUAGUUUUCUUGAUUACUGUCAGCAGGAGGAAGCCGAGGCAGAGGAAAAGAGCACUGGACUUGGAGUCGCCGUGCCUGCCUGCCUCUGGCUUCGCGUUCCCGUUUGCAGCGAAGGGGCAUAAUGGUCUGUGCGGCGCGGUGCCCAGCCCAACCGCCCCGCCGCCCCUGGCUCGGAGCCUGGCACAGCCCAGGCGCUCGGCUGUGGCCCCAGUCAUGGCAGGACCGACCCAGCCCGGGGAGGUGAGCGCGCUCGGCCGGCCCGCGGGGCUAGAGGCGGAGGCCCAGGCGCCCGCCCCCGUGGGAAAGCGCGCGGAGGGCGACCCGGGCGAGUCAGCCAGAGAGCCUAGCGGGCUGCGGAGCCAGAGACAGAGACCGGAGGCGGCGAGCUCAGAAAAUGAAUGACUAGUAGGGAAACUGAAUGACUCAGUUGGUGGAGAGACUGAUCCUGGAAGUUAAUAUUAAUGGUUUGGAGCCAAUGCCUGGGUUCUAAUCCUGGCUCUGGGGCUUCCUAGUUGUGAUGCUUAGGUGAGUUGCUUGACCAAUCUGUGGCUACCCUGUAAAGUGGGAAUACUACCUGCCUCAUAGGGUUGCUGUGAGACUUGAAUGAGGAAAUACGUGAAAAGUAUUUUUCCUGGUGUCUGGCAUGUAAUCAAGGCUCAGUAAGUGGGGGCUUUCAUCAUUGACAAUUCUUUCCCUGCUACUGGAAGCCCAGUCUCAGCUGUUGCACUGGGCACACUUGUGCAUGCUUGUACAGGCCCUGCACACACAUAUGCAAGAACAGUGCACAACUCUCUCAGCUGUGGCGUGAGCUGGCCAAGGUGCCGCUCUUGCCAGAACUGGGGAUCCUGGCAGAUGCUUUGUGCCCCUCUGGAGCUGUGCCUCCUGUGCCCAGUGCCGUUGGCUUGGCAAGACAGGUUGCUAUGGCAGCAGGUGAUUGGGCCUGCAGGCAGGGACAGUGGCUGGCCUUGGCUGAGCUCUCUGGCAUUUUA